AUACAGCGCAAUUCAAUAGUCGAAUAAUACAAUACAGUUUAAAAUUCAAAAACUUUGGCGGUAUCUUACAAAACUAGGGGAACCUGUUACUUAAUACGAUAGCCCACGACCUAUCAUCCAUUUUUAGUAUAUCAGUCUGUGUACUGCUGUCACCAAUAAACCUAUAAAAGAAAGUUUAUAACAAUAAUUAAUUUUAUUAAUGUCAAGUCAAAGUGCAGCUAAUAAAAUGGGGUAAAUGUGUUACAACAUAUAUUUACAUAUAUAGAUAGUAAAAUAAAAUUUACUAGUAAAGUGGACUUAAAAGUAAUUUUUCAAAUUUAAAAUAAAAAUUUUCCUAAGAUAUGUACACAUCGCCCGUCACUCUCGUCAAAAGACU
rnacentral:rRNA from 1 species